UAGAGCUGAGCUCAGUGCACAGCUGAGGUAGUUUUAAAUGUUAUGAUUUUAUUGUUCAUAACAUUUAUCCUACUUCGUCUGUUCAUGAGUUAUAUCCUGACU
rnacentral:pre_miRNA from 1 species